rnacentral:sRNA from 1 species
GUAACAAAAGAUGAAGGGACGAUGGGUGGCUAAUGGAUAACUAAUCUUAUUUUUUGCACAUGAAAUUUUAUAUUUCACGAACAACAAAAAUAGGAUUAGUCCGCCCAUUUUCUAUAUAUAGCAGCUUCAAUACUCAAUAUCUGUCGGUUUUCUCUUUGAUAUGCAAAGCAGAAAGCACAGUAUUUUUUGUAUUGGAGUUAUAAAUGACGUAUGAUAUUGUUGCGACUAAUCCUUCCAAAAUACUUGGAGGGAUUUUUUU